ACGAUGAACCUCUUUCGGGAGGGGAUUAGUGGCGAACGGGUGAGUAACACGUGGGCAAUCUGCCCUGCACUCUGGGACAAGCCCUGGAAACGGGGUCUAAUACCGGAUAUGACCAUUGGGGGCAUCCCUGGUGGUGGAAAGCUCCGGCGGUGCAGGAUGAGCCCGCGGCCUAUCAGCUUGUUGGUGGGGUGAUGGCCUACCAAGGCGACGACGGGUAGCCGGCCUGAGAGGGCGACCGGCCACACUGGGACUGAGACACGGCCCAGACUCCUACGGGAGGCAGCAGUGGGGAAUAUUGCACAAUGGGCGAAAGCCUGAUGCAGCGACGCCGCGUGAGGGAUGACGGCCUUCGGGUUGUAAACCUCUUUCAGCAGGGAAGAAGCGUGAGUGACGGUACCUGCAGAAGAAGCGCCGGCUAACUACGUGCCAGCAGCCGCGGUAAUACGUAGGGCGCGAGCGUUGUCCGGAAUUAUUGGGCGUAAAGAGCUCGUAGGCGGCUUGUCGCGUCGGUUGUGAAAGCCCGGGGCUUAACCCCGGGUCUGCAGUCGAUACGGGCAGGCUAGAGUUCGGUAGGGGAGAUCGGAAUUCCUGGUGUAGCGGUGAAAUGCGCAGAUAUCAGGAGGAACACCGGUGGCGAAGGCGGAUCUCUGGGCCGAUACUGACGCUGAGGAGCGAAAGCGUGGGGAGCGAACAGGAUUAGAUACCCUGGUAGUCCACGCCGUAAACGUUGGGCACUAGGUGUGGGCGA
rnacentral:rRNA from 1 species